UCUUUUAAGUGUGUGCCAGCAGCCGCGGUAAUACGGAGGAUGCGAGCGUUAUCCGGAUUUAUUGGGUUUAAAGGGAGCGUAGACGGGUUUUUAAGUCAGCUGUGAAAGUUUGGGGCUCAACCUUAAAAUUGCAGUUGAAACUGGAGACCUUGAGUACGGUUGAGGCAGGCGGAAUUCGUGGUGUAGCGGUGAAAUGCUUAGAUAUCACGAAGAACCCCGAUUGCGAAGGCAGCCUGCUAAGCCGCCACUGACGUUGAGGCUCGAAAGUGCGGGUAUCAAACAGG
rnacentral:rRNA from 1 species